rnacentral:snRNA from 1 species
AUACUUACCUGGCAGGGGAGAUACCAUGAUCACGAAGGUGGUUUUCCCAGGGUGAGGCUCAUCCAUUGCACUGCGGGUGUGCUGACCCCUGCGAUUUCUCCAAAUGCGGGAAACUCGACUGCAUAAUUUGUGGUAGUGGGAGACUGCGUUCGCGCUCUCCCCUG